rnacentral:piRNA from 1 species
UAAAAAACCUGCUUACAGAGAACCCGUGUU